UUUGCUCAGCACUGGAAUAGCUGUCCAAAAUUGAUUAGGCUGCCGGCGACGUCCGUCUGUAAAGUCAUGAAAACAACAGCUAUGGUCAGAGAGGGCAUCUUCAUGACACUAUAUAAACUUGCUGAAGAUGCGGAUCUAAAGAGCAUCAAAGUGUGCGGAUCAUCUCUCAUGUACCUGUUCUGUUCAAUAUGACGCUUCCCUGUCGGUUAUGACAGUACGCCUAGUGUGCUAGGUUUGAGUAUAUUGCAUCUUCCCAAACUGAAGUUUUAUUAUUUAUUUGAACAGUUUAAGAGGUUUCAAUUUUUCUUCAAACUGGUCAGCCAUAGUACACGUUUUUCCUGGGACUUUUCAGAAGCUGAAGGUGUGGUUUGGAUUCCCACGCGACAAGACACUGACACUGACUGGCCCAUGUAAACUCCUGACUGCGUCAUUACGCAGACAUAAAGACAAAAUCAAGCUAGACUUCGGCCGGUUGGGUGUUGGUUCCACAUCUAAUGUACUGGUUCCAAUGCUAACAAUUGAUCCGUAAUAUUAUAAGUAAAUAAACACUGCCUUUCUACGCAAUCAGUUGGUAGUUUUACACACGUCAUCACAGCCGUCAGCUAAACGUUCACACACAUGGUCAUCAUGCAUGGACAAGUUAUUAUAUUUCCUGUCAUGUCUUUUUACACAGACAAACUUUCUAUAAAGAUCGAGGACGAUGAUUACCGUCUCAAGAAAUGCGACAAGCUGGGUGGACCAGCUAACAAACAGGCAAGAGGAAAUGGCGGAGCAAGCAUUGGUUUCUGUCUCAUCUAAAGAGACACUAAUUUGAUGAAUGUGAAGGGAUGGAGAACUUGACAUGUUCUCGAACGUUAUGUGACAACGAAAUCACGCCAAGUUUAACCAUCCUGUAGCUGGAGAAAACAUGAACAGAAUUUGUGAAAGAGAAAGAAAAGUUCUUCAGAAUUUUACCAACGAAGUUGGGCAGUCUCAGUGGAAUUUCUGAAGGAGGAUUUCUUCCACAUUUUGCACAGAGAGUGAGGUGGAUUCAUCAUGAAGGCUAAGAUUGGACAACUAUUGUUCUCUGAAUUAACAGACGUGUACUACUCGUAGUCGUAGACACGAAGGGUUUCAUCCGAAUUUGUUGUCUAGAGCUAGGUCUUGGUCUUUGCUACGCGGAGACGCGCAGACAAUAGACCUAGCCUAGCGCCCAUAAGUACAGUCGACUCUCGUUAUAACAAAGUUGCAAGGACCAGACAAAUUACUUUGUUAUAAUCAGAAUUUUGUUAUAAGAGGAAAAACAUAAGAAUUCAAGAAAGUGGGAUUCUCAGAAAUUGUUCUUUUGUUUCAGUUUUUUGUUAUAACUGUUCUUUAUAAUGAGAGUCGACUGUACGUUAAUAGAUGCGGCAGUAAAGAGGCGUUGGAUUGCCCGCUUCAGUCUCUGCUCUUAAAUUUUAUAAUUUUACUUUCUUGAGACUUUGGCAUACGGAGUAUUGAGAUCCUAAACAUACUGCCCUGAACAUAAUCUUAAGAUACCCAUCAUUUUAAUUUUCCUUUCCACCAGUCUACCCUUCUCAUGGUGACUGACAAAUGACGAGACUGACAUUGCUGACUUCUAGGGAGUGAGAGCGCCCUCUAUAUCAAUUUGUACCGUCGGAACUUUUUUUGUCAUGUAAUUAGUGCAUCUGAAAAGUUACCAUUCACAUAAUUCCGUCGCCGAACGCAAAAAAACUCCUCCAGGAGGAAAUGGUGCUAUUUCUUCAAAUUUAAGAGACUUAAUACAUUUUCUGAAACCUUUAAAGUAAAAGUGUCUUUGCCGCCUGCAAUGUGAAAUCAGAAGUUAAAGCAUGUUGUGCAUGCAGAAUAAAACAAUAUCCGAUAUUUUCACUCAAAAGCGCUGAUCUAUUAUCAUUGUAACAUUACAUACCUGUACUUUUGUACGCCUCUUACUGCAUGGGGCGCCCUCUGAUGACUUUGAAUGUGCAAACCCACCUAAUUUGGGAUUGAUUUCUUAUGUUGCAUGCCUCGAAAAGUACAAACGCCGGCCAAAGCAUGAUUUGCAACCUUUUUGGGGUUUUGUGCAGCCCGUCAGUUUGAGGAAUUGUAAAACAAAGGAAAGGUGGAAGCUGUGAACAGCAUUGCGACCUUGCAUUCUGUAAACUUUGUCUGAAGCGAGGUUCUAAUAGUGCCCUAGUGGGAAUGAAAUUAGGCAUCUUUUUUAUCAUGGGAGGUGAACUUCAUGAAUACUUUUAGUGGUUCAUCUUCGGAGGAAGUUACAAAGUUCUUUCAAACGUCUUCAAAUUACCCACCGAUUGUUUUUCUUCUGAUUUUUUAAGUAAAGGUAUUUGAUGUUGUCGCUUUAAGGCAGUUUACUUACUGGUCUGCAACCGUAAACCGUAUUGCCCUCUGAAAUGGAGUGCUUAUGUGAGACUUGUACACCACCUCUCCGUGACGGGUGACGUGUGACCACAGUUUAUGUGUAUGCGUAUGACGUGUUCUCGUUAGAAUAAAGUGCGCCCUCAUUCCCAACAGACCUAUAACAUAAUGACAUCACGCUUUGUAGAUGGGCGCUUGCCUGUGUCAUUUAGUUGGAACACACAAUUCAUUGAUCCCCAUUGGAAAGCAUACUUGUACACGUAAACAUCAUUGUUUUAGGUUUGCUGCGGGUCCCAUCCUUCUAACCAAAACAAGGGUUAUGUAACUAUUUUGCUGCAUUACUUCCAUUACUGUACUUGCUUUGCAAGAGAUUUUAGCCGAGUCUUUCGGAACUAGCCAUGAGGUUAAUUUUUUUAAAAAGUAAUAAGCAUUAAAUAAAACUGGAGUUCUGACCAAUCUGCUCUUGACGAAUUGACGCCACCUCGGAUCUCUCAUUUCCAGAGCGACUAGACCACCAACACAUUAAUCUUAAAUUCCAUCUCUUAAGCCAUUCACGAACGUCUACACAUACGACAGGUCAUCCAUUAGUAAACGUCACCAUCGGCACCGUGUUGGAAGCUUACACAACCAGGCACGAUGGCUGUCAUGUUUCCCGCCAAAACCAAUCACCUUCGCUCUGAUAAGUCUGAAUUCAGUGGCGCCUUUUUCUGCACUGUUACACUUAGCAAUCACGAGGAUUGCAUUUUUUAAUUGACGAAACCUAUAACGUGCCAAAUAAAUGCCUGAGUGUCGAAAUAGUUUCAGAUGAAUAGCGAAAUACAAACACCUGCAGUAGAUGUUUUACUUCCAAGACCAAGACAGGCAUGAGUAAUAUCUGUGGGUAAAAUGUGUAUAUAAUAUGAAUGAGGGAAACGACUGAAGAUAUGCCCACGAAGCUUAAUUUUACUGUUGAUCAAUUCCAAGUAAUCCUAGCCGGUUGUUACACAGUAUUUUUUCCGUGUUUGCCCGCGAUCUGUACAUGACAUAUCUGUUGCCUUCCUACCUCCAGACAGGUAGUCAAGAACACUAACUUCUGCUGUUGGUAGUCCUAGAUUGCCAGUCAUGUACCUACUUGCGAAGUCAUCGUUAUUAGCUAGGAGUGAUGACUCUCAACAAAGACUUUCAGAGUCUGGCUCCGCUUCACCAACUUGAGUUUGUAAUUUCAUUUUUCAGUUGUUCUGCUUUGUUCGUACGCAUUUACAAGCCAUUUUCCAAUUAGAAAAUUUCAAAUCAGUUUGGAUGUCUUUUUAUCUCUUGCGGGAAUUUAAGAUAAAUCUUUCAAAUUGUUUCAAUCAGCGGCAAAUUGUUCUUCGGAGUUUAAUCAUCCCAUCCCAUGAUCUUUUUUCACCUUGUCUCUUGUCAUUUAGUACAGAAACGACUUCAUUAUUUUCCCUCGUUUUCCCGUGGAGGUAGUUCCCUGCGGCCACCUUGAUCAAUUCUACCCAGCCCCCAGACCCUUGGGACUGCUGUAAAUCGUCCAAACAAGACGCUGUGAUCACUCUUUUUUUUCAAAUUCAAUCUUCCUCAGAAAUGCCAACGGCCGCUUUGAGUAAGCAAGCAGCAUUGGACGUAACCAUGACGCACGCUGUACUGUUUGUUAUCAACCCAAGGCACAAGUUACCAUCACUCAGCCUUAUAAGAAAUUAUCUGAAUAAUUAAAAGGUUUGUGCUGGAGA